rnacentral:rRNA from 1 species
CCUACGGGAGGCAGCAGUGAGGGAUAUUGGUCAAUGGGGGAAACCCUGAACCAGCAACGCCGCGUGAGGGAAGACGGUUUUCGGAUUGUAAACCUCUGUCCUCUGUGAAGAUAAUGACGGUAGCAGAGGAGGAAGCUCCGGCUAACUACGUGCCAGCAGCCGCGGUAAUACGUAGGGAGCAAGCGUUGUCCGGAUUUACUGGGUGUAAAGGGCGUGUAGGCGGGAAAGCAAGUCAGAUGUGAAAAACAUGGGCUCAACCUGUGGCCUGCAUUUGAAACUGUUUUUCUUGAGUACUGGAGAGGCAG